AUAACUCUUGAAUGGUAAAAGUGAUGCUACUUAAAAUCAAACUUAAUGUAUGUUAAGUGGUAUUAAGCAUUGUGUAUCUGUUUCAAAACAUUUGGUUAAGGCAAACCUAAGUUUCAAUUUGGGACCUACCUACGUAUGGACGGACAUAGGUACAGACAGACAAGGGUUAAACUUAAUGCCCCCUUCGCUGCAGUGGGGGCAUUAAAUAAAGGCAACAGUAGUAUACUGCUGUUCAAAACUCAUGAAUCUAUCGACAAAAAACAAAAUCGGGGUAACAAACUAAAACUGAGGGAAACGCAUUAAAUAUAAGAGGAGAACAACAACACAACAUUAAAAUGUAACACGCACAGAAACUGAC
rnacentral:lncRNA from 1 species